AACGAACGCUGGCGGCAUGCCUAACACAUGCAAGUCGAACGAAGGCUUCGGCCUUAGUGGCGCACGGGUGCGUAACGCGUGGGAAUCUGCCCUUUGGUUCGGAAUAACAGCUGGAAACGGCUGCUAAUACCGGAUGAUGAUGAAAGUCCAAAGAUUUAUCGCCAGAGGAUGAGCCCGCGUUGGAUUAGGUAGUUGGUGGGGUAAAGGCCUACCAAGCCGAGGAUCCAUAGCUGGUCUGAGAGGAUGAUCAGCCACACUGGAACUGAGACACGGCCCAGACUCCGACGGGAGGCAGCAGUGGGGAAUAUUGGACGAGGGGCGCAAGCCUGAUCCCGCAAUGCCGCGUGAGUGAGGAAGGCGCUAGGGUUGUAAAGCUCUUUUACCCGGGAAGAUAAUGACUGUACCGGGAGAAUAAGCCCCGGCUAACUCCGUG
rnacentral:rRNA from 1 species